rnacentral:rRNA from 1 species
AUUGAACGCUGGCGGCAUGCUUUACACAUGCAAGUCGAACGGUAACAGGCUUUCGGGUGCUGACGAGUGGCGAACGGGUGAGUAAUGCAUCGGAACGUACCCAGAGGUGGGGGAUAACGCAGCGAAAGCUGUGCUAAUACCGCAUGUGAUCUGAGGAUGAAAGCGGGGGACCGAGCAGCAAUGUUUGGCCUCGCGCCUUUGGAGCGGCCGAUGUCGGAUUAGCUAGUUGGUGGGGUAAAGGCCUACCAAGGCGACGAUCCGUAGCUGGUCUGAGAGGACGACCAGCCACACUGGGACUGAGACACGGCCCAGACUCCUACGGGAGGCAGCAGUGGGGAAUUUUGGACAAUGGGCGCAAGUCUGAUCCAGCAAUGCCGCGUGCGGGAAGAAGGCCUUCGGGUUGUAAACCGCUUUUGGCAGGAACGAAACGGUGUCCGCUAAUACCGGGCGCUAAUGACGGUACCUGCAGAAUAAGCACCGGCUAACUACGUG